rnacentral:rRNA from 1 species
AAAACCUUCAAAAAUUGCUGGGGGGGGUACCAUUUUCCUCCAUGAUGUUAGCGGCGGACGGGUGAGUAACACGUGGGUACCUUGCCUUGCUAAGACUUGGGAUAACUUCCGGGAAACCGGGGCUAAUACCGGAUGGUUGUUUUGAACCGCAAUGUUUUCAAAAAUAAAAGGGGGCUUUGGGCCUACCACUUUAAAGAGUGGCCCCGGCGGCGCAUUACCUUAGUUUGGCUGGGAUAACGGCCUCCCCAAGGCGACUGAUGCUGUAGCCAACCUUGAAGAGGGUGACUUCCCCACACUUGGGACUGAAACACGCCCCAAACCCCUACGGGAGGCAGCAGGGGGAACCUCCCCCAAUGGACAAAAGUUUGACGGACCACGCCCCGUGAGAAAAGAAGGUUUUCGGACCAAAAAACCUCUGUGUUGGAGAAAAACAAGCGCUUUUCAAAUAGGGGGCACCUUUAACGCCCUACCAAAAAGCCGCGUUUACUUCGGUGCACGAACCCCNUGAAAAAAACACUAGGAUGGGAAAGCGUUUCUCCAAAAAAUAUUGGGCAAAAAAAAGGGCUUUCCUAGGCGGCUCCUUAAAGUUCGAAAGAAAAAGCCCCCCGCUCUAAAACCGGGGGGAUGAG